GUGAGGAAUAUUGGUCAAUGGGCGAGAGCCUGAACCAGCCAAGUCGCGUGAAGGAAGAAGGAUCUAUGGUUCGUAAACUUCUUUUGCAGGGGAAUAAAGUGCGGGACGUGUCCUGUUUUGUAUGUACCCUGAGAAUAAGGAUCGGCUAACUCCGUGCCAGCAGCCGCGGUAAUACGGAGGAUCCGAGCGUUAUCCGGAUUUAUUGGGUUUAAAGGGUGCGUAGGUGGUUUGAUAAGUCAGCGGUGAAAGUUUGCAGCUUAACUGUAAAAAUGCCGUUGAAACUGUCGGACUUGAGUGUAAAUGAGGUAGGCGGAAUGCGUGGUGUAGCGGUGAAAUGCAUAGAUAUCACGCAGAACUCCGAUUGCGAAGGCAGCUUACUAAGCUACAACUGACACUGAAGCACGAAAGCGUGGGGAUCAAACAGGAUUAGAAACCCCAGUAGUCC
rnacentral:rRNA from 1 species